rnacentral:misc_RNA from 1 species
AAGAGUUAAUUACAACUCCCAAACCCAUGUGAACUUACCUUCUGUUGCCUCGGCAGGUCGGGUUUACCCUGUGAGGUCUUACCCUGUAAGACCCUACCUGGUAGACCCGGGUACGCCUGCCGGUGGCCCAUGAAACUCUGUUUAUUCUAUGUUAUUCUGAAUCUAUAACUAAAUAAGUUA